rnacentral:rRNA from 1 species
GGGUUGUGAGGUUAAGCGACUAAGCGUACACGGUGGAUGCCCUGGCAGUCAGAGGCGAUGAAGGACGUGCUAAUCUGCGAUAAGCGUCGGUGAGGUGAUAUGAACCGUUAUAACCGGCGAUUUCCGAAUGGGGAAACCCAGUGUGUUUCGACACACUAUCAUUAACUGAAUCCAUAGGUUAAUGAGGCGAACCGGGGGAACUGAAACAUCUAAGUACCCCGAGGAAAAGAAAUCAACCGAGAUUCCCCCAGUAGCGGCGAGCGAACGGGGAGGAGCCCAGAGCCUGAAUCAGUGUGUGUGUUAGUGGAAGCGUCUGGAAAGGCGCGCGAUACAGGGUGACAGCCCCGUACACAAAAAUGCACAUAUUGUGAGCUCGAUGAGUAGGGCGGGACACGUGGUAUCCUGUCUGAAUA